rnacentral:rRNA from 1 species
AACGAACGCUGGCGGCAUGCCUAACACAUGCAAGUCGAACGAUACCGCCGGGUCUUUUUGCGCAGGUGUGCGUGAGGCGCGGGAGGGUGCGCUAAGGGUCGGUAUCCCUCCCCGAACGGGGUGCUAACACCGGGUAAUUGCGGCUAACAAGAGAUAUUUCGGCUUUGGCUGGGCCCGGGUUGGGUUAGGUUGUUGGUACGGUGAGAGCCGAGCAAGGCGACGAUCCGUAGCUUGUCGGAGAGGAUGCACAGCCAGGCUGGGACUGGGACACGGCCCAGACUCCUACGGGAGGCAGCAGUGGGGAAUAUUGGACAGUGGGCGAAAGCCUGAUCCAGCACUGCCGCUUGAGUGCUGCAGGCGUUAGGGUUGUAAAGCUCUUUUACCCGGGAUUAUAAUGACGGUACCGGGAGAAUAAGCGCCGGCUAACUACGUG